GACGAACGCUGGCGGCGUGCCUAAUACAUGCAAGUAGAACGCUGAAGGAGGAGCUUGCUUCUCUGGAUGAGUUGCGAACGGGUGAGUAACGCGUAGGUAACCUGCCUGGUAGCGGGGGAUAACUAUUGGAAACGAUAGCUAAUACCGCAUAAGAGUAGAUGUCGCAUGACAUUUGCUUAAAAGGUGCAAUUGCAUCACUACCAGAUGGACCUGCGUUGUAUUAGCUAGUUGGUGAGGUAACGGCUCACCAAGGCAACGAUACAUAGCCGACCUGAGAGGGUGAUCGGCCACACUGGGACUGAGACACGGCCCAGACUCCUACGGGAGGCAGCAGUAGGGAAUCUUCGGCAAUGGACGGAAGUCUGACUGAGCAACGCCGCGUGAGUGAAGAAGGUUUUCGGAUCGUAAAGCUCUGUUGUAAGAGAAGAACGAGUGUGAGAGUGGAAAGUUCACACUGUGACGGUAUCUUACCAGAAAGGGACGGCUAACUACGUG
rnacentral:rRNA from 1 species